CUUGUCCAAAAUUCGAAGACGUGCAUCAAACUUUUCUAUGGCCAUCAAAUUUUGCUAUGGACACCCACAAACUUCUCAGAAACCCAAUGCUUUCCAGAGGCCCAGCUGCUACAUUUUUAUUUUACCAUUCUUUUAUUUUUCUUUUCUCACUACUGCUCGGCUUUACUCUUCACUGCCUUCGGUCCACCCUAUUCGAAACACAGUAACAGUAGGACACAAACUUCUGCAAAUUGGAUUUCGAGAUGGACUUGAGGGUGGAAGCCAUCUUGGAGAUGGAAUUGCAACUGGGUCUUCAUCACAAAAGAAUUCCCCCAACAUCUAAAGCUUGCAAUCAGCUUCAUCCUCGUAUUCCGUGAAGGGAAAUUGGUGAUCUUGAUGAGAGAAUUGGCCUAGGCUCGUGGUGAUUUGUAUCGGGUACAAAACAAGUACAGGAGCUGUGGUGUCAAAAAUUCUAGAGUUCCAGACUUCUGACUUCGACUGUGUAAGGCGAGGAUAGCAGCUGCAGUUCGGCCAAGUAUCGGAAUUCCAGGAUUCAAACUCAAGGUUUGGUGUUUUAAACAGCCAAAUACUUGAGGAUAAUAUCGGCACCCUAAGGCACGCCGUGUCAAAGUUCUAAAACAGUAUUGGCACCGUAAGGCACCGCCACCGGAGCUUUGAAAGCAGUUUCGGCACCCUAAGGCACGCCGAAUGGAGCUCUGAAACAGUACUGGCACCGAAAGGUACCGCCACCGGAGCUUUGAAAGUGGUAAAGCCAUAAAGAGAUGGAUUCUCCACCUUUUUCCUAUGGAACACGCUGCAGCUUCCUCUGUCUCCUUUGCUUUCCUUCUCCUUCUGCCUCCUUUGCUUUCCUUCUUCUUCUGCCUCUUUUUUUUUUCCUUGUACGGCCUUCUUGGCCUCUUAUAUAGUGUACUGAUGGUAUCGUUGAGUUUUAGAGAGACUCUUGUAUUUGACAUGACAUGAAACACCAAAAGAUAACUAUGAUCCCUAUCAGGGAAUUACCGUGCAUCAGUUGCAAUCAAACUCUAAUACUUAAUAAGCUCAUCUGUAAUCAUGGGCAAUUGACCUUCACGCAUUUUCCGUCCUUUUUUUAUUAUCUGUCUUUUUUUUUUGUUUCAACAGAGGGGCAAGUGAAUCUGACGGCUGAAAAUAAAUGCAUAAUU